rnacentral:rRNA from 1 species
UACAGAGGGUGCAAGCGUUAAUCGGAAUUACUGGGCGUAAAGCGUGCGCAGGCGGUUGUGUAAGACAGAUGUGAAAUCCCCGGGCUCAACCUGGGAACUGCAUUUGUGACUGCACGGCUCGAGUGCGGCAGAGGGGGAUGGAAUUCCGCGUGUAGCAGUGAAAUGCGUAGAUAUGCGGAGGAACACCGAUGGCGAAGGCAAUCCCCUGGGCCUGCACUGACGCUCAUGCACGAAAGCGUGGGGAGCAAACAGG